rnacentral:misc_RNA from 1 species
GAUGAAGAACGUAGCGAAAUGCGAUAAGUAAUGUGAAUUGCAGAAUUCAGUGAAUCAUCGAAUCUUUGUACGCACAUUGCGCCCGCCAGUAUUCUGGCGGGCAUGCCUGUUCGAGCGUCAUUUCAACCAUCAAGCCCCAGGCUUGUGUUGGAGCCCUGCGGCUGCCGCAGCCUCCCAAAACCAGUGGCGGGCUCGCUAUCACACCGAGUGCAGUAGUUUACUCUUCGCUCAGGGCGUGUGGCGGGUGCUAGCCGUAAAACCCCCAACUUCUCAAGGUUGACCUCGGAUCAGGUAGGAAUACCCGCUGAACUUAAGCAUAUCAAUAAGCGGAGGA